CUAUCAAUUGUGUAGAGACUCAAACACAAGAUUAGGGAGUAAACAAAUGCUUAACUAGUAAACCAGUAGACUCAUUCUUGACAUAGAUUAUCAAGGAAAUAAACUUAAGUCAAUGGCCCAAGAGUAGAGGUUAAUUUUAAACAAAAGAGCAAAACUUCCUAAAAACUCAACUCGAACCCCUGACCUCAAACACAUACCCAG
rnacentral:lncRNA from 1 species